rnacentral:rRNA from 1 species
ACAGCAGUAGCCGCGGGAAUACAGAGGGUGCGAGCGUUAAUCGGAUUUACUGGGCGUAAAGCGUGCGUAGGCGGCUAAUUGAGUCGGAUGUGAAAUCCCCGAGCUUAACUUGGGAAUUGCAUUCGAUACUGGUUAGCUAGAGUGUGGGAGAGGAUGGUAGAAUUCCAGGUGUAGCGGUGAAAUGCGUAGAGAUCUGGAGGAAUACCGAUGGCGAAGGCAGUCAUCUGGCCUAACACUGACGCUGAGGUACGAAAGCAUGGGGAGCAAACAGGAUUAGAGACCCCAGUAGUCCCUGUCUCUUAUAC